rnacentral:misc_RNA from 1 species
UCCGGUUUGUCACCGGCAGUCAUCUUAGAGUGCCCACCUUUCGUGCUGGCAACUAAGAUCAAGGGUUGCGCUCGUUGCGGGACUUAACCCAACAUCUCACGACACGAGCUGACGACAACCAUGCACCACCUGUCUCCUCUGUCCCAAAAGGGCCCAGCACAUCUCUGCGCUGUUCAGAGGGAUGUCAAGACCUGGUAAGGUUCUUCGCGUUGCUUCGAAUUAAACCACAUACUCCACUGCUUGUGCGGGUCCCCGUCAAUUCCUUUGAGUUUCAGUCUUGCGACCGUACUCCCCAGGCGGAAUGCUUACUGUGUUAACUUCGGCACCAAGGGUGUCGAAACCCCUGACACCUAGCAUUCAUCGUUUACGGCGUGGACUAC